rnacentral:lncRNA from 1 species
GAGAGCUUCUUCCUCAUGAAUCCACAGGCCAGGGCCCCAGCUAACCAGACUGACUAAUGAGUCAUCUUCCCGUCAUCGUGAGAGCCACUGUGGUACACCAGCAUCUCCAAGACCGUUUAGGAAGCUGAUUCAAGGUGAAGCAGCAAUGGUAGAGGUCACAACUGAUCAGAGGCCAUAUCGCCUGGAAAUGGAGUUGCAGGUGACUGUUAGGUACCA